rnacentral:rRNA from 1 species
GAUGAACGCUGGCGGCGUGCCUAAUACAUGCAAGUCGAGCGAACAGACGAGGAGCUUGCUCCUCUGACGUUAGCGGCGGACGGGUGAGUAACACGUGGAUAACCUACCUAUAAUACUGGGAUAACUUCGGGAAACCGGCGCUAAUACCGGAUAAUAUAUUGAACCGCAGGGUUCAAUAGUGAAAGACGGUUUUGCUGUCACUAAUAGAUGGAUCCGCGCCUCAUUAGCUAGUUGGGAGGGUAACGGCUUACCAAGGCAACGAUGCGUAGCCGACCUGAGAGGGUGAUAGGCCACACUGGAGCUGAGACACGGUCCAGACUACUACGGGAGGCAGCAGUCGGGAAUCGUACGCAAUGGGCGAAAGCCUGACGGAGCAAGCCCGCGUGAGUGAUGAAGGUCUUCGGAUCGUAAAACUCUGUUAUGAGGGAAGAACCAAUGUGUAAGUAAAUAUGGCCGUCUUGACGGUACCUAAUCAGAAAGCCCCGGCUAACUACGUG